rnacentral:rRNA from 1 species
UACGAAGGGGGCUAGCGUUGCUCGGAAUCACUGGGCGUAAAGGGCGCGUAGGCGGACUUUUAAGUCGGGGGUGAAAGCCCAGGGCUCAACCCUGGAAUUGCCUUCGAUACUGAGAGUCUUGAGUUCGGAAGAGGUUGGUGGAACUGCGAGUGUAGAGGUGAAAUUCGUAGAUAUUCGCAAGAACACCAGUGGCGAAGGCGGCCAACUGGUCCGAUACUGACGCUGAGGCGCGAAAAGCGUGGGGAGCCAAA